UGCGUCCACGUAAAGACAGAGAAUUGGUU
rnacentral:piRNA from 1 species